AGACGGGAUAGGAAUGCGUCUCUAAAAACUCCCAUAGGCAGACAGACACAAACAAAAACUAUGUAUACAUAAGGUUUUUCUUAUUAUUACAGCAUAGAAAGUUCCGUCACGCAUAUGGCAGCUUCUGCUCGCCUGGCAGGCGUUUGUCACAGGGCGUGAAAUUUUCUCACGCUCACAAUUAUAUGUUUGGAUCGCACGACCCAACCAAGACAAGAACAAAUCGAGGAUCUUAUUAAGUAAUUCAGCGUUCCCACGCAAACGUCAAGAUGCAUUGCACGAUGCUGGCAGCGAACAUAUUUUUUUGUUGAAAAAGAUCCUAAUCUGCUGGAGGUCCCCUUGAAAAUGAGUUUUUAUUUCUGUAAUUCUUUUUUUUUUCAUAGCAUUGUUCACAAGCGUGCUUACUUUCGUUUUUCUGCACGCCUGCUGAAUUAUCAAGAUUGAGAUUCCUCAAAAAAUGACUGAAGACGUUGAUCCUGUGAUUGUGCCAUAAUAAUAAUAAUAAAUAGUAACGAAGAUGUUGCAUAGGGUUCUGGCCUGUUACAAAUAAAAUAAAGCAGACGUUUCCAGGUAAGGCAGUGUCUGCUGUGUUGAGUAAAGAAACGACUGCUGAAGCUGCUGUUGCCCUAGUAACUACCAAGACGGAGAGCUACUUGCAUAGAGGGUUAAUGUCUGCGUUUGCCAUCUUAAGAACACACAAAAGAGACACCCGAGGAAACCUUAGCAAUAACGUAGACAUUUUGGUGGUGGUUUUUUAAACUUACUUCAGAAACAGGUAUGAACGCACCGACUUCAGGUAGAAAUCCUUGCCCAGUGGUAACGUGCUCGCGAACAUGUUCGCCUGUUAUUUUAUUCACAAUAUUGUUGCUCCAGAAAGAUUUUCAAAUUAAGUUGCAUA